GUUAUGGCUCAGUGGUAGAGCACUCUCCUAGAACGUGUGAGACACUGGGAUCGAUCCUCAGCGUCACA
rnacentral:tRNA from 1 species